GUAAGAUCCCUGAUUUCAUCGGGAACUGGACACGACUCAAGAGGCUGCAUAUGCAAGGCACAUCUAUGACGGGACCUAUUCCUUCCAACAUCUCUUUCUUGGUGAAUCUAACUGAACUGAGGAUAUCUGAUUUGAAUGGAUCGAGCAUGCCUUUCCCUGCAUUGGGGGAUAUGACCAAAAUGCAGAAAUUGUGAGUUGAAUGGAUAUACCCC